ensembl:lncRNA
AUGUCACUUAGUGAUUUUCCAUCAUUCGAAUAUCUUUGUGUUGUAUUGAACGGUUCUCCCAGAGUUCUCCUGUUAAUUAUUUACAGGCCACCUAAAUAUUCUGCACAUUUUUUCGAUGAUUUUACUGAAUUAUUGUCUAGCAUCUCUACCGACUUUGACUGUCUAGUUAUAACUGGUGACUUUAAUUUUCAUACUGACGAUUUGAAACUGUCUCAACAUAUGAAAGAGGCUACUCAUUGUAAGGGACACACCCUGGAUUACCCUACCUACCCACCCUGAUUAUCACAAAAGGUCUCAUUGUUUUGGAUGUUUUUGUGACUGAUCCCUCAUUGUCUGACCACUUCUGGGUUUUCUUUAAUAUUUCUUUCAUUCCUGACACACAAUCAAAAUCAAAUACUGUCAAAAAACGUGUACUAAUGUACUCUUUAAAAAUGUCAUCUCCUCGUUGCCACCUCUAAUCCCAUGUCAUGCUGAUAAUCUUGUAAACAACUUUAUUUCCAAAAUUUUGUAUGUUAUAGAUGACAUUGCACCUGUUACGGUUAAAACCAGUUCUAGUAAGCAAAAGGCACCCUGGAGAACAGCUGCUGUUGUAACAGCCCAGAGAAGAGAGUGCAGGAAGGCUGAACGAAUCUGGCGGAAUACAAAACUUCAUAUUCACCAUGACAUCUAUAAAGGGCGCCUCCGGGUCUACAAUUUAGACUUAAAAAGUGCUAGGGAAACAUUCUUCUCCAACAUCAUUAACAACAACACUAAUAAGGCAAAAACCCUAUUUGAAACUGUUGACAGACUGACCAACCCCCCAACACAAAUACCACCUGAACUCCAUUCCACACAGAAAUGCAACGAGUUUGCGUUCUUUUAUACUCAGACGCGCCAUUAAUAUCUCAAACAAAAAUGUUGGAUCACCACCCUAUUUAGGCAAAAGUAACACAUCAAUGAUGACAAGCUUUAAUGCCAUAGACUCUCAAACUCUAGUGGAAAGGGUGACAAAUUUAAAACCAUCCACCUUGUCUUGAUGCUCUACCUACAAACUUCUUUAAGAAUGUUUUUGACUGCAUAGCAACAGACGUAUUGCAAAUAGUUAAUAACUUUAUUCAGACAGGCCAUUUCCCAAAAGCUUUCAAAACUGCAGUUAUUAAACCUCUCCUAAAAAAGCAGAGCCUAGAUUCCUCUAUUAUCAACAACGACAGACCAAUUUCAAAUCUACCUUUCAUAAGUGUCGCCUGAUUAAAAUGAUGACAGGACACUAAGAUAAAUUUAUUUCUCUUUAAUGUG